rnacentral:tRNA from 1 species
AAGCAAGAAACUAGUAGUAUUAUGGUUUCGGCCCAUAACCAGGUAUAGCUUAUACCCUUGCUUU